rnacentral:rRNA from 1 species
AGUGAAUAAUUAAACGGCCGCGGUACCCUAACCGUGCAAAGGUAGCAUAAUCAUUUGUCUAUUAAUUGUAGACCUGUAUGAAAGGCAAAAUGAGGGUUUAACUGUCUCUUAUAGUAAAUCAAUUAAACUGAUCUUCCAGUAAAAAAGCUAGAAUACCCCCAUAAGACCAGAAGACCCUGUGAAGCUUUAACUAAACUAUUAAACCCUAUAAUAGCUACUUUCGGUUGGGGCGACCUUGGAAAAAAAAAGAACUUCCAAACACAUGUGACCAUAAUCACACUACCAAUUAGGCCCACAAGCCUACAACUAGACCCAGCACAGCUGACAAUUGAACCAAGUUACUCCAGGGAUAACAGCGCCAUCUUCUUCAAGAGUCCAUAUCAAAAGGAAGGUUUACGACCUCGAUGUUGGAUCAGGACAUCCUAA